CUCCCAAGUCACUCAAGUCACAUUGGGUACAUUAAGGUGGAGAAAGAGAAUCUCACCAGUGUGAUGGGAGAAUCCCCACUUACAUUUGUGUCCCUCUGCCAGUGGAAAGAGGGGCUUGAUGUAGUGUGAAGAAGGCUUUUGCAAGUAAACAAUUUAAGGUAGCUAUCCUAAGACAGUAUAAAUAUAAACAGUGCCAAAUUAUGAUUUGAGUUCCCUUUAGAGGCUAAAUCUUGUGAAUUGUGAAGUACCCAACCGCUACUUUUCUCAAGGUUCCACUUGUAGUACAUCACUUUUAGCCCCAUCACAGAAACAAACGAACACAGCAUAGUAACAUAUUCACAUCUGAGAACAGGAAACUGAGGAAUGGAGCCCUCUCCGGUCUCUCUCAAGUAUGUGUAGAUUCUUAUUGUGAUGUCAACCCUGGCCAUCACGUGUGGUGACUCUGCUUUAUGGCAUUUAUAUUAGUGUCCCUGCUAAAUAUCAGGACUGGCCCACCAAACCGGGCUGUGGGCCCUUUUCAGUGCAAACCGAAGCUCAACAUCUUCCUAAGUCCAUUUUGAAUGCAUGAGAUUUGUUGGGCAGCUGAAAAUUGCUGUAGCAAUGAAGCACAAGAUGUGCCACCCAGGACAACCACAUCCAGAAAGAAAGGAGACCUCUUCUGGUUGCACAUGAGGAUGCAACCUCUUCCUGUACCAGAGGAAGCCACCCAAACAUGGUUGAUGCCCUGUCCAAAGGAAGGCAACUCCAAGGAUGGCAAGGAUUCAGACGAAAGGAGCAAUGUGCUGCCUGUAAUUCAUCUCCUCCUCCUUGUCUUGCACAAACUCUCUUCUGCCAUCCAUAAGCAACGCUUUGGAGCCCUCCCCAUUCAAUCCUUUUAUAAUCCCCAUGCUGAUAUACCUGGCUUCAUGCAGGCAGUGAUGACUUGCAUAUGUAGCUUGUAUGCAACCUCUCUGCAGAACCCUCAGUCCCUUUCUUAGUGUCCCUCUGGACACUUAGUGUAAGCAUGUUACUGCAGCACGAAGUCUGGAGAAAAUGUCCCAA
rnacentral:lncRNA from 1 species